UGAGCAGAGCGUGCGGCAGAGAGGCAGAGAAUCAGUGCCAGAGAGAGCAUGAGUUAGCGUCUAUACCUCUCUCUCUCUCUCUCCCCAGAUCUGACUCACUAGAGCGAAAUAUGGUCAAAAGUUCGCUUAAAUUUGAUUAAUCAUCAUCUGCGCGCGCGUCCAUCCAGCAGACAGCACUAAUUCGCACCUGUGCUGUAAAAAUGCAGAGCGCCCUCCCCCACCACACGUCACAUACAGUACAAAUCCGCACCUGUGCUGUGGUGGUAGCAGCAACCGCAUUCAAGUGGAUUUUUUCAAAGAACGAUCACAAGAAAUGUCAGAAAUUUGUGUGUCGACAGAUAAGCGACAUUCAAUUCAAUUAAUGGCGCGCGCAGCACACAAACACAUUCAAGCACAACACACGGACACAUGUACACAUAUUGCAGCAUAAAACGGGCGAGAGGCUGAGAAUAAAACUGUAAUCGUAAUCCCUGCCAAGCAUGAGGAGUAACAGCAGCGGCAGCACAUACAACAACAACAACAACGACGCCAGGCAAGUCUCUUUCGGCAGCAGCGCGCAGCGAAUAA